rnacentral:lncRNA from 1 species
UGUUUCAAUUAUCCUGUAAGGUCUUUCUUAGUUUGGAGAUAAUUUUUCUUGAUCGAGAGGUCUUAAGACUUCUGCUUUUCUUAGAACCAAAUCUCCAGGAUGGAAGACCUUCGAUUUAACCUUUGCAUUAUAAUACCGAGCCACCCUUUGCCAAUAGGCUGCCAUCCAAACUUGAGCUUGCAGUCGGACUUCUGAAAGUAGAUCUAAGUCGGCUCUCCGAUAUUCUGAAUUGCUCGGCUCACUGUAUUGUUCCACCCUUGCUAAUGGUAAUCCAAUCUCAAGUGGGAUCAUCGUUUCUGUUUCAUAAGUUAGAUUAAAUGGCAAUUCUCCCGUUGGUAUAUGAGGAGUUAUUCAGUAUGCCCAUAAGAUCAGAUAUAGCUCUUCCAUCCAGAGGUCUUUGGCUUCAUUCAGUCUGGUCUUGAGUCCAUGUAAAAUCGUUUAAUUU